rnacentral:sRNA from 1 species
UAAUAAUUACUUAAAUUUUUUUAAUAAGACGAACGGUUAAAUAUGUUUUAAAAAAUCAACGGCAUCAAAUAUUUAGAGAUGGAGGGAAUAUAUUAAUUUAAUUUGAGUUGGAAGAACAAGUUCAACUGUUUGGAAGGAGCGCGCGAUCUGAGUCUUAAUCAGCUGUUGCUUUCGUCUUUCAAUAUGUGACUAUAAACGUGUCUCUCUAUGUUUUUCGUCGUUUUAUUCGUUGAAUAGGCAGAGCUCCUACCGUUGAAAAGGUAAGUGUUAAACUUUGGUUUUUGUUGGUGUUCUCUCUACGUUUAAUACUUCUAAUUUUUAGUCCCAUCCAAACACCGUUUAUUUGUUUCUUGCAUUUUUCUACACGUAACUAUAAUUAAACCUCUUUGUGCAUUUCUCUGCGUAUUCUUUUUAACUGAAUCGGCACAGCUCCUGCCUUGUUUCUCUUUUACGGUUUUGUCAAAGGUAGGAAGUUAAAGAUUAAGGUUAAUCCUAUUAUUACUAUGAAGCUACAUAGUUUCUUAAUUAUGAUGGUGGGUUGUUUUUUUUUUAGCAAGAGCAGAGAGCCCCCAUUUCCAUUACUAGAAAUGAAUAGCAAGCUACAGAGUGAGAGCGAGAGAUGGUGGCCGGGUUGUAAUGAUUAUCAUCAUGCAUGACAUUAUCUAUCAAAAAAAUCUAUUCAUGG